UUAAGCAAAGAAGAGCGCAGGGUGGAUGCCUUGGCACUAAGAGCCGAAGAAAGACGUGAUAAGCUGCGAAAAGCUGCGGGGAGAUGCAAAUAAUCCUUGAUCCGCAGAUGUCUGAAUGGGGAAACCCGGUACGAAGAACUCGUAUCAUCCAUACGCCAAUCCAUAACGUAUGGAGGGGAACCCGGUGAACUGAAACAUCUAAGUAGCCGGAGGAAGAGAAAGAAACAUCGAUUUUGUUAGUAGCGGCGAGCGAAAGCGAAAGAGGCCAAACCGGAGUGCGUGCACUCCGGGGUUCGGACCGCAUUUAAGAUUCAGUGAUUCUAGCAGAAAGGUUUGGGAAAGCCUGCCGGAGAGGGUGAAAGCCCCGUAAGCGAAAGGAGAGCUGACUGAGCGGGAUCCAGAGUACAUCGAGACACGAGAAACCUUGAUGGAAUGAGCGGGGACCACCCCGUAAGCCUAAAUACUACUUAGUGACCGAUAGCGCAUAGUACUGUGAAGGAAAGGUGAAAAGGACCCCGGGAGGGGAGUGAAAGAGAACCUGAAACCCUGUGUUUACAAGCUGUGGAAGUUCUUUAAAUGAACAACCGCGUACUUUUUGUAGAACGGUCCGGCGAGUUGCGGAUACUGGCAAGGUUAAGCACUUAAGGUGCGGAGCCGAAGGGAUACCAAGUCUUAACAGGGCGUUAAGUCAGUAUACGCAGACCCGAAACCGGGUGAUCUAUCCAUGUCCAGGUUGAAGUUGUCGUAAAAGACAAUGGAGGACCGAAGCCACAUCCGUUGAAAAGGGUGGGCAUGAGGUGUGGAUAGGGGAGAAAUUCCAAUCGAACCCGGAGAUAGCUGGUUCUCCUCGAAAUAGCUUUAGGGCUAGCCUCGAUUUAGUCUUAUGGAGGUAGAGCACUGAAUUUCCGCGGGGGCGUCAAAGCUUACCAAAGAAUAUCAAACUCCGAAUGCCAUGUAGAUGAUGAUCGGGAGUCAGACUGCACGAGAUAAGUUGGGCAGUCAAAAGGGAAAGAGCCCAGACCACCGGCUAAGGUCCCAAAGUGCGUGUUAAGUGGAAAAGGAUGUGGGAAUUCGAAGACAACUAGGAUGUUGGCUCAGAAGCAGCCAUACAUUCAAAGAGUGCGUAACAGCUCACUAGUCGAGAGUUCCUGCGCCGAAAAUGUCCGGGGCUGAAACACGACACCGAAGCCGUGGACUCGCAAUGCGAGUGGUAGAGGAGCAUUCUUAAAACCGACGAAGCUGUACCGAAAGGAGCAGUGGAGGGAUAAGAAGAGAGAAUGCCGGAAUGAGUAGCGAGAGAAAGGUGGGAAUCCUUUCGGCCGAAUAUCUAAGGUUUCCAGAGUAAAGCUGAUCUGCUCUGGGUAAGUCGGGGCCUAAGCACAGGUCGCAAGACGUAAGCGAUGGAUAACAGGUUUAGAUUCCUGUACCACGCAUUAUCAGAACUGUAGGGACGCAUGUGGAAAGCACGAGCCGGGAAUGGAAAUACCGGUACAAGCGGGGUAGGUGUACGAUAGGCAAAUCCGUUGUAUAAUCCGAAGACGUGAUGUGGAGCGAAAUAAAGUAGUGAAGCGUGUGAGCCAUGUGCCGAGAAAAGCUGCUAUUGUGUAAUGCGUGCCCGUACCGUAAACCGACACAGGUGGAUGAGGAGAGAAUCCUAAGGCCGACGGAAGAAGCAUUGUUAAGGAAUUCGGCAAAAUGACCCCGUAACUUCGGGAGAAGGGGUGCCUGCGAGAGCAGGCCGCAGAGAAUAGGCUCAAGCAACUGUUUAGCAAAAACACAGGUCUAUGCGAAACCGAAAGGUGAAGUAUAUGGGCUGACGCCUGCCCGGUGCUGGAAGGUUAAGAGGAGAGGUUAGCGUAAGCGAAGCUUUGAAUUUAAGCCCCAGUAAACGGCGGCCGUAACUAUAACGGUCCUAAGGUAGCGAAAUUCCUUGUCGGGUAAGUUCCGACCCGCACGAAAGGCGUAAUGAUUUGAGCACUGUCUCG
rnacentral:rRNA from 1 species